UACGAAGGGGGCUAGCGUUGCUCGGAAUCACUGGGCGUAAAGCGCACAUAGGCGGAUUGUUAAGUCAGGGGUGAAAUCCUGGAGCUCAACUCCAGAACUGCCUUUGAUACUGGCGAUCUCGAGUCCGGGAGAGGUGAGUGGAACUGCGAGUGUAGAGGUGAAAUUCGUAGAUAUUCGCAAGAACACCAGUGGCGAAGGCGGCUCACUGGCCCGGUACUGACGCUGAGGUGCGAAAGCGUGGGGAGCAAACAGG
rnacentral:rRNA from 1 species